UCCUAACACUUUGCCUGCGGUUUUGAGUGCUACUGCUUAAGCUUUCAUUCAUUUACUUUUGUUUUGCUUUUUCUCCAUAGGUAUGUUGAUUCUCCGGGUCACUGGAUAAUGUUAAAGCUGAAAGAGUGACUAAAGGAAGAAAACCGGGAAGAUGAUAACCUCUCCUUGAAGUCCAAAGCCAAGGGAGAAGUCAGAUAUUACUCUUCCAUCCUCCUCUUCUGUGACAGAGCUCCACUCAGGAACCGUUCCUUAUAAAGACUUAGGCAGAAGGAAGUCGGGCAGCAGAAAUGCAAUCUUCAUGGUCAAAAACUCUAACCAAGAAUGGUGUUUUUUAAUAUGUUUUUGUUAUUGAGGAAUGUAUGCCCCUAAUCUUGCAGUUUUUUCAAAGCAAAU